AUUGAACGCUGGCGGCAGGCUUAACACAUGCAAGUCGAGCGGAGCGGCGGACGGGUGAGUAAUGUCUGGGAAACUGCCUGAUGGAGGGGGAUAAUUACUGGAAACGGUAGCUAAUACCGCAUACCAUCAGAUGUGCCCAGAUGGGAUGAGCUAGUUGGUGGGGUAAAGGCCUAACAAGGCGACGAUCCGUAACUGGUCUGAGAGGAUGAUCAGUCACACUGUGACUGAGACACGGUCCAGACUCCUACGAGAGGCAGCAGUGGGGAAUAGUGGACAAUGGGCGAAAGCCUGAUCCAGCCAUGCCGCGUGUGUGAAGAAGGUCUUCGGAUUGUAAAGCACUUUAAGUUGGGAGGCGUUACCAACAGAAUAAGCACCGGCUAACUUCGUGCCAGCAGCCGCGGUAAUAC
rnacentral:rRNA from 1 species